UCAAUAGAACUAUUGAUUAUCUCACGCCUCUCUGACAAUAGAGUGAAGGAUUCAAUCAACAGUAUUUACAUUAAUCAUGAGCUCUGGCUUACGCAACAUUCAAUACAAAUUUAAUCAACUGUUCAAUACAAUUGAUUAUCCACAGCUUUUCCGAUAAUCCUGUACUUAUAUUUUGAUAUAAAUACAGCUUCCUUAACGCUCAGAAAAUCAGAAACAUCAGGGAAAAUAGUGCUGCCAUACACGAUUUUGCAGAUCUAAUCUCCAUCACAAUCUUCGCAAAAUGAAGUUGUUCCACGUGGUUCUCGUAGCAUCAGCGUUGGUGGUGAUGAGUCUUAUGACUCCAGUCCUUGCCGAUCCCCGCCCCAGGGGAGGCCAUCUGCCACCCGGUCGCAAAUGAUUCCUCAUUUUUCAAAUUGUUUCAAUUUUUUAAAAUUAUUUUUUGUGUGUUGGUUUUUAAAUGAAACAAUGUAAUAAAAGCAAUUGCUUCUUGAGGAAUUGAAGUUUUUGAUCGAUUAAACCAUAUUACUGUACUACAAAUGAUUCUUCAUUUCCAAGUUGUUUCAAAUUUUCAAUAAUUUUUUCUGUGUGUGUGUGUGUGUUUAAUUGAAACAAUGCAAUAAAAGCAUUUGCUACUUGAGGAAU